rnacentral:lncRNA from 1 species
GGAGCUCCCAGAGGCGGUGGCGGGGGCGCCAGGGGGCGUCCUCCCAGCCCCGGGGACCGGACUGUGCACCUGGUGGCUGCAGGAGCUGCACUGUGGACUCCCCGGCCAGAUGGAAGCUUUCAGGUCCUUCAUUCCAGAGUUGACUGCCCAUCCAGCUCUUGAGCCCUCGGGACCCGUGCUCAGUUUUAUGAACUGAAGGCUUGGCCAGCAGUUGAUUUCUACAGGAUCCAAAGCACAUUGAGAGUUUGAAACACUGGACUGUAUCAUUUACUCCUGAAAUUGUUUCUCCAUCCCUCUGCCAUCAGCAACUGACUCCAUCUUGCAUACAGUUGCCCAUGAUUCAGUUGAGAAAAUGUCUAACUAUGUUCAUCUCAAGCCUCAUGCUUAUUUUUUAAUCCUUGUCAUUUGGUUUUCAAAGCAGUUUGUUAUUGAGGUAGGACUGGGGAGGGGGGUUGCCCAAGAUAUGCACAUUAUAUAUGAGAGUGAGAAAGAAUUUCUAAUUGAAUUCCAUCUACUUUACUCUGUUGAAGGUUAUGAAAAACAAUGAAGUGCUCUCUUUCUAGGAUAAUAACAGGUAUGGUUAAGUUUAUUCCCUUUGUCUCCUGAAUUUACUAGGAUUCUGAAGUAGAAAAAAGUGUAUCUUUUGAUCACUUAUAAACAUUUUUAGGAGUUCCCGUCGUGGUGCAGUGGUUAACGAAUCCGACUAGGAACCAUGAGGUUGCGGGUUCGGUCCCUGCCCUUGCUCAGUGGGUUAACGAUCCGGUGUUGCCAUGAGCUGUGGUGUAGGUCACAGACGCGGCUCGGAUCCUGCGUUGCUGUGCCUCUGGCGUAGGCCGGUGGCUACAGCUCCGAUUCGACCCCUAGCCUGGGAACCUUCAUAUGCCGUGGGAAUGGCCCAAGAAAAUAGCAAAAAAAAAAGACAAAAAAAAAAACAAACAAAAAACAACAUUUUUAAAUUGGUCAGUGAAAGCUAAAUAACACAAAUCAUUAACUUCACCUCCAGAAAGUUCAGACUCAAGUAUUUAAUGUACAAUUGUAAUAUCUCACUCCAGUGUUGCUUAGAUGCAACUCUCCUCCCUCUAUUGUUCCUGGGUUUAUUAAAAUGAAUUUGAGAUAAAUUUGCUAGUUCCUAGAACUAUUCAUGUUUCUAUGUUCUUUUGCAUUCAUUCCUUGUUCAACCAUUUACAAAUUUUCAUAAGGCUUUUAUUUGGAGUUCUGCUUUUCUUAAUUUAGAUAAAUAUUAUAACCUUGACAUAUUUUAUGUCUCAACUAUAUGGUUUAUAUAUAUGUUAGUGGGGGGGAAAUCCCUCCUUUAUGAAAGUAGGAUGUGUAUAAAACAUAGUCAUCCUUAGGUA